UGAACGCUGGCGGCAGGCCUAACACAUGCAAGUCGAACGGUAACAGGAAGCAGCUUGCUGCUUCGCUGACGAGUGGCGGACGGGUGAGUAAUGUCUGGGAAACUGCCUGAUGGAGGGGGAUAACUACUGGAAACGGUAGCUAAUACCGCAUAACGUCGCAAGACCAAAGAGGGGGACCUUCGGGCCUCUUGCCAUCGGAUGUGCCCAGAUGGGAUUAGCUAGUAGGUGGGGUAACGGCUCACCUAGGCGACGAUCCCUAGCUGGUCUGAGAGGAUGACCAGCCACACUGGAACUGAGACACGGUCCAGACUCCUACGGGAGGCAGCAGUGGGGAAUAUUGCACAAUGGGCGCAAGCCUGAUGCAGCCAUGCCGCGUGUAUGAAGAAGGCCUUCGGGUUGUAAAGUACUUUCAGCGGGGAGGAAGGUGUUGAGGUUAAUAACCUCAGCAAUUGACGUUACCCGCAGAAGAAGCACCGGCUAACUCCGUGCCAGCAGCCGCGGUAAUACGGAGGGUGCAAGCGUUAAUCGGAAUUACUGGGCGUAAAGCGCACGCAGGCGGUCUGUCAAGUCGGAUGUGAAAUCCCCGGGCUCAACCUGGGAACUGCAUUCGAAACUGGCAGGCUAGAGUCUUGUAGAGGGGGGUAGAAUUCCAGGUGUAGCGGUGAAAUGCGUAGAGAUCUGGAGGAAUACCGGUGGCGAAGGCGGCCCCCUGGACAAAGACUGACGCUCAGGUGCGAAAGCGUGGGGAGCAAACAGGAUUAGAUACCCUGGUAGUCCACGCCGUAAACGAUGUCGACUUGGAGGUUGUGCCCUUGAGGCGUGGCUUCCGGAGCUAACGCGUUAAGUCGACCGCCUGGGGAGUACGGCCGCAAGGUUAAAACUCAAAUGAAUUGACGGGGGCCCGCACAAGCGGUGGAGCAUGUGGUUUAAUUCGAUGCAACGCGAAGAACCUUACCUACUCUUGACAUCCAGAGAACUUAGCAGAGAUGCUUUGGUGCCUUCGGGAACUCUGAGACAGGUGCUGCAUGGCUGUCGUCAGCUCGUGUUGUGAAAUGUUGGGUUAAGUCCCGCAACGAGCGCAACCCUUAUCCUUUGUUGCCAGCGGUCCGGCCGGGAACUCAAAGGAGACUGCCAGUGAUAAACUGGAGGAAGGUGGGGACGACGUCAAGUCAUCAUGGCCCUUACGAGUAGGGCUACACACGUGCUACAAUGGCGCAUACAAAGAGAAGCGACCUCGCGAGAGCAAGCGGACCUCAUAAAGUGCGUCGUAGUCCGGAUUGGAGUCUGCAACUCGACUCCAUGAAGUCGGAAUCGCUAGUAAUCGUGGAUCAGAAUGCCACGGUGAAUACGUUCCCGGGCCUUGUACUCACCGC
rnacentral:rRNA from 1 species